rnacentral:ncRNA from 2 species
CACUCCGAGGAGCGUUGCAACGGAUCCGCCUCCUUUCCCCGGUGCCGGCCUGAUACUUCCCUUUCAGGCCCGCCGCCAGGAUUGGGCGCUUCCGCCAGGCUCGGACUGUCUUCAACGGCGCUCGCUGAUC